GCACGGGUGCGUAACGCGUGGGAAUCUGCCCCUUGGUUCGGAAUAACAGCUAGAAAUGGCUGCUAAUACCGGAUGACGACGUAAGUCCAAAGAUUUAUCGCCGAGGCAUGAGCCCGCGUAGGAUUAGCUAGUUGGUGUGGUAAAGGCGCACCAAGGCGACGAUCCUUAGCUGGUCUGAGAGGAUGAUCAGCCACACUGGGACUGAGACACGGCCCAGACUCCUACGGGAGGCAGCAGUGGGGAAUAUUGGACAAUGGGCGCAAGCCUGAUCCAGCAAUGCCGCGUGAGUGAUGAAGGCCUUAGGGUUGUAAAGCUCUUUUACCCGGGAUGAUAAUGACAGUACCGGGAGAGUAAGCUCCGGCUAACUCCGUGCCAGCAGCCGCGGUAAUACGGAGGGAGCUAGCGUUGUUCGGAAUUACUGGGCGUAAAGCGCACGUAGGCGGCUUUGUAAGUUAGAGGUGAAAGCCUGGAGCUCAACUCCAGAAUUGCCUUGAUACUGCAUGGCUUGAAUCCAGGAGAGGUGAGUGGAAUUCCGAGUGUAGAGGUGAAAUUCGUAGAUAUUCGGAAGAACACCAGUGGCGAAGGCGGCUCACUGGACUGGUAUUGACGCUGAGGUGCGAAAGCGUG
rnacentral:rRNA from 1 species